UACGUAGGGUGCGAGCGUUGUCCGGAAUUACUGGGCGUAAAGAGCUCGUAGGUGGUUUGUCGCGUUGUUCGUGAAAACUCACAGCUUAACUGUGGGCGUGCGGGCGAUACGGGCAGACUGGAGUACUGCAGGGGAGACUGGAAGUUCCUGGUGAUAGCGGGUGGGAAUACGGCAGAUAUCAGGAGGAACACCGGUGGCGAAGGCGGGUCUCUGGGCAGUAACUGACGCUGGAGGAGCGAAAGCGUGGGGAGCGAACAGG
rnacentral:rRNA from 1 species